AUUAAGAUAACUAAUUGAGUUGUUGCUUUUCAGGAGCAAAUGUCCCCAAGGCGUUACGUACGUAGGUCUGCUCCGGUACCGCCUUCCGCGGAGCCUGAGCAGCCGAGAUCGGAGGAAGUGCAGGAGCUGCGGGAGCAGGUCGCUGCAAUGUUGGGCGCGAUGCAGCGCCAGGAGGCUCGGUUCGAGCAGCUCCAGGGAUUUGUGGAGCGGCAAGCGGCAGCAGCGGCGGCCGCGACAGCGGCUGGAGAUCACGAUCCGCCCGCACCUUCGGCACGCGCGCCGGUAGCGGCCGAGGGUGAGGGCAUAGCGGCGGUUCUGAUGGCGGCAGUUCCCCCACCGGCGAGUGCGC
rnacentral:lncRNA from 1 species